UUCUCCUUUGUGAUGCAAUCAAACUUGAUUAUGGUCCUAGAAGCAGAAGUUUCAUUAUGGGAUUGGCAAUUUUUUUUUUUGUCGAGUCUUAUUCUGUGAUUGCUCAUUAUUCUGUUUCAGAAAAAUGGGGAGUUUUGUACUUCACAUGGCAAUGAAAUAUCUGGAGUACACACUCGGCCGGGAGGAUGCGGAAGGACAUAUGCUGAAUCUUGCGUUCCAUUCCCAAGUCUUGAACUACCUAGGACGUAUCAGGGUUCCUUUCAGGACUCCACGCAUCCCACAGACCCCACCCCGUGUGCCGCCCGCUCCAUCUCGUCCUGGACUUCCGAUUGUCGUAGGACUAGGCGGUGGUGCCAUACUUCACAAGGCUGGCAGCUUUGUUUGGUCUUAUAGGUGGUGGAUUGGUAUUGGUUUGGGCGCCUGUCUGCUGGGACCCAGUAUCACAAACUAUCUCCGGCGCCGUCGCAGUGACCGCGAGCAGAUUACUGUUAAUCCACAUGCUGUUCACCCAUCUGCUGCAACAGAAGCUUAUAUUUUAGAUGGAUCAGCUAUUCUGUCUGCUUACCUGCAGGAGAUACUACAGAGUGGAAGGUUUCAGGAUCUGGACAUAUGUGAAGCAAAUACAUUUUUUCAGAAUCACCCAUUUGAAGCUCAAGCUAGCGCACUCUUUUGUGUCCAACACUUGUACCUUCAAGUACGAAACCAUGUCGAUCCUGAAAGUGACCUGUCCAAUUUACUGGAAGUUGCUUCUGAACGUGUUAGAAGGGUGCUGUCACACAACGAGUCAUUGGAACCGGUCAAUUCAGAUUCUUAUUCACUGUGUGUACAGUCUAAAAUGGAAAGACUGUAGCUCUUAUAAUCACUGGAAACCUCGGGAUGUUCAAGCAAUGGUAUUGCUGCUCUGGGACUAUCCACAAUGCUAUCGAAAUCAGAAGACCUUUCAGGGAUAUGAGUUACAUGGCUACCCGAAGAUUGCCUCCUGCUUUGCAAUCUAUGUGCACUUCAGACAUUGUAUUUGAAAAUAUUCAAGAGGGGCCAGAGUACAUUAUCCUGUCUGGUUCUACCAUCAUCGAUGUAUUACAAAACUUGAGCCUCGUCGAGUUUGCCUACCAGGGAGUGAGGCCGGGGAUUGAUCUCCGCGACCUGUGUGAGACCCUGCAUGGGCUGAGUGUACCAUCUUCAAGGCCAAGUGAGAACAUUCUGCUUGUCAUCGUACAAUUCAAGGCGCCCCAUCACCCUAUUACCCUGCAGUCCGAUGACAUAGCUCAGCGCAAGGGCAAAGCCCCGAUGGACGGCGGCGAGGGUACAUCUGGGUCGAAAGCCCAGUGAACUUGCAGCAAGGACACCUCACCUGGAGGUCUAACCUACUUGAUGUAUGUUGGAGAGGCGAACUUGGCUAAGAGGGAUUUGUGAGUUAGAAUCUGGGCGCUUUUGUAGGAUCACGAACUCGUGAUUGCCAUUGACCCACUUAACGUCUUGCACAUGUAGUAUGUUCGCAAUUGACCUGCCAACAAACAGGCCAAGCGUGUUAGCCUGAAAAGCAGUAUCAACUUGAACAUGCAGAUUGAUUGCUUGCUUAGCGGGAAUAAUUUUUCUGAGAAUUGAAACUGAUCUCUACGGAGACGAUCCUAACAAACCAGUGGUGUGUCCUAUACAUAUCCCAGCCAAGUCGCCGAAUCUUCGCCGCUGCAAACCAACCUUCCCAGGGCGCCCCUGCCCCUUCUUGCCUAGUCUGUGAGCAACUCAGUAUAUGUUGCACCAAACCCGAAAUUGAGAAACGACCCAGAUGAAGGGGCUCCAUCUCCUACUGUGUGCUCUCAGGGAAGUGAGACGAUAAGGGUGCUCGCAUUUUGGGUGGCUGUGAAGGAGCUGGAGAAGCGAAUUCUGUCCAUGCAGCCACCCAGAAAUGCAAUUUAUGAUUGUAGUGGUGCACCUCUUCCGGUUCAGAUGCAGCUGUUGUGCCUAUCAGGCUCAGUGCCUUCUUUUCUAGGUGCUAUAAAGCUGACAUGUGUUUUCUUCUUUGAAUAAAGUCAGAUAGUUUAUGCUAUGACCUUGCCUGUGGUUUUCUUGCGAGUUAUCAUUGGGUGGUACCCAAAACGAAGACGUACAAGCUUUAGCUUCUCUUAGAAAUUUUGUUCAAAAAGCUCUCUCCAAAUAUUUCAGUGCUAACCAGCUCCGUGCUGCCUAUUACGGCGAUUCGGGUGGCUAUUCCCUCCCCGCUGCCACCAUAUUCUUCUCCUUCCUAGCUUCCCUCGGCAUCCCCGGGCGACGCCGCUACGCAAAGUGGCGGACGGCGGUCACGGGAACCGUAUCUCCGUGUGCUCUCGGUACGUCCAUGAGUGGGUGGAAGCCCUAAACUGUUCUCGAGAUGUGCCCUCCCUCUUGUCUAGCCCAGAGUUUGCGAGAACUAUUACAGUGAGCCCUCCUAGGGUGAACAAAAAGAUGAACUGUUACAGUGAGCCCUCCGCACCCGAAUAUAUUGCUCAAAAGGCUCUUUCCGAAUAUUAUAGCGAUUUGGGUGGUGAUUCCCUCUCCGCCGCCAGCAUCCUCCUCCCCUUCCUUGGCUGGUCGAUGCCGCUGGCCAAUGCGGCAGACAGUCACAUAAAGUAUCUUCUUCUCGGGUGACAAAGACAAAGGUGCUCUCGUCACGUCCUUAAUAUUUUUUUAGAUGAACUGCCCCACUUUAUUAAGCAAUAAUGUUCGAAACUGAACUAAGAAUCGGUACAAUUUCUGGGGGAUUUCACAGCCACAGGUGACGCCCCAGAUCGAGAGAUGUAGCUGCACGGGCUAGAUUGUGAGCUUCUACUGUAUAUUGCCUUCGUUCAUGCAUGAAACGAACAGCAGCUAACCUGAGUGAAUACUCAUUGAUCUCUCGAAUAACAGAUGUGU